UACGUAGGGUGCGAGCGUUAAUCGGAAUUACUGGGCGUAAAGCGUGCGCAGGCGGUUUUGUAAGCCAGAUGUGAAAUCCCCGGGCUUAACCUGGGAAUGGCAUUUGGGACUGCAAGGCUUGAGUGCGGCAGAGGAGACUGGAAUUCCUGGUGUAGCAGUGAAAUGCGUAGAUAUCAGGAGGAACACCGAUGGCGAAGGCAGGUCUCUGGGCUGACACUGAUGCUCAUGCACGAAAGCGUGGGGAGCAAACAGG
rnacentral:rRNA from 1 species